rnacentral:rRNA from 1 species
UACGUAGGGUGCGAGCGUUGUCCGGAAUUAUUGGGCGUAAAGAGCUCGUAGGCGGUCUGUCGCGUCGGUCGUGAAGACUUGGGGCUUAACCCUGAGCUUGCGGUCGAUACGGGCAUGACUGGAGUUCGGCAGGGGAGACUGGAAUUCCUGGUGUAGCGGUGAAAUGCGCAGAUAUCAGGAGGAACACCGGUGGCGAAGGCGGGUCUCUGGGCCGAUACUGACGCUGAGGAGCGAAAGCGUGGGGAGCAAACAGG